GAAGUGGUAGCUCAGUGGUUAAGACGUUGGACUACUGAUCGGAAAGUCGUGAGUUCAAUCGCUGCCACUGCU